AUCAGAUUCAUGGCAGAGGUAAAUCUCAGGAAUUGCAGGAAAAUAUCACAUUGCAUUUUCCAUUCUCAUUCUAAAACCUGCUUCCUGUCUGAACAAUUCUCUCAUUUAGAUUGGAUUAUAACCUUGCAAAGAGUAUUCUGAAAAUUAAUUCUAAAAUGAUUUAUUGUGCUGGUGUUUAAAAUAGUACGGAGAGUUCCAACAAUUCAAUUAAUUUAUACUAUGAGAAAUUGACCCACACAGAGCAUGUUGGAGCAGUUAUAUGGGAAUCUGAAACAAGCCAGAUGCUUUCAAGAGAGAUUUAGCUCUUAGAGCUAAAGGAAUCAAGGAAUAUGGGGAAAAAGCAGGAAUGGGGUACUGAUUUUGGAUGAUCAGCCAUGAUCAUAUUGAAUGGCGAUGCUAGCUCAAAGGGCCAAAUGGCCUACUCCUGCACCUAUUUUCUGUUUAUGUUUCUAAGCCCUGUAGAAUCUGCUGCAGUCUUCUUCAUAGCACAGGAGUUAGAGAGCAGUGGGAAAUGGGAUAAUAAAGCUUACCAGCAUUCACUGUCAAAGGUUACCUGUUGACAGUGGAUUAUAGGGAUUGGAACAGAGGUCACCAAGCAGCAAUGGAAAUGUAUUGCAGCAAAUGUCUGCAGUUUUGAGCAAGAAAGUGAAUGGGUAAAGGUGUGCAUACAACUGAUCUCAAGUGUCUAACUUACCGUCAAAUAAAUCGUUUCAUAACAUAAAGAUUAAGCACGAGAGACACAAAGAACUGCAGUUGCUGGAAAGUUGAGGAAAACAUUAAGUGCUGGAGAAAGUCAGCGGAUCAGGCGGCAGUCUCAAAAAGGGUCCCGAUCCAAAACAUCACCUAUCCAUUUCCUUCACAGAUGUUGCCUGACUCGCUGAGUUCUUCCAGCACUUUGUGUUUUGAUAAGCAUUAAGAUAUAUUUAUGCUGUGGGUUUAAAAGUCAUAUUUGGGUUUGGUUUAUUUGGCAAUUUUAGCCUUCACUAGGAAUAUGGCACAGCACAUAACUCAUAUUUUGUCAGACCCUGCUGACAUUCUUCCCACUGAAAUUCAAGGAAUUAAAACACCAUGGAAUUUAAAAGUGACAGUGUUGGAUGUUGUUUGUCCAUUAUCAUAGCAGUGAAGGUAAAAAAUGAUUAUUUAAUCGCUGAUACUUACAAGACUGUUAUAUUUAACUGAAUAGGUGUAUAAAGAAAAAAAGUGAAGUAUUGCCAGAGAGGGAGUACAGAGAAGGUUCACCAGACUGAUUCCUGGGAUGUCAGGAUUUUCAUAUGAAGAAAGACUGAAUAGACUCGGCUUGUGCUCGCUAGAAUUUAGAAGAUUGAGGGGGGAUCUUAUAGAAACAUACAAAAUUCUUAAGGGGUUGGACAGGCUAGAUGCAGGAAGAUUGUUCCCGAUGUUGGGGAAGUCCAGAACAAGGGGUCAUGGUUUAAGGAUAAGGGGGAAAUCUUUUAGGACCGAGAUGAGGAAAACAUUUUUCACACAGAGAGUGGUGAAUCUUAGGAACUCUCUGCCACAGAAGAUAGUUGAGGCCAGUUCAUUGGCUAUAUUUAAGAGGGAGUUAGACGUGGCCCUUGUGGCUAAAGGAAUCAGGGGGUAUGGAGAGAAAGCAGGUACAGGAUACUGAGUUGGAUGAUCAGCCAUGAUCAUAUUGAAUGGCGGUGCAGGCUCGAAGGGCCGAAUGGCCUACUCCUGCACCUAAUUUCUAUGUUUCUAUGUUUCUAAAAAUGAUACUGCACAUUUCCCUUUGAUUAAUAAUUGUUUAACAAUCAACUCGGAAAUAAAGGUGGCAGGGGAAUACAUAAUAUACGGUAUGAAAUUCUUCCUCUUUCACAUUGUCAGAGUUGAGCUGUUUCCAUUCCAGUUUUGCGUGGAAGAUGUCAGUGCGUAAUUGAGGGCCUGUUUGAAAAGUUCAAUAGAGGUAACACUGAAUCACAAGCAAAGGAUCUAUAGGCUGGAGUGUUUCUCCCUCUCCCUCUAAUUCAAUGCACAUUGAAUGCAUAAUUUGUAGUUUCAAUCGCCGAGUUUCAUUUAAAAAUUUGACAAUCGGCUUUUACUGUCUUUCAUGAACCAUGAAAACCGACAAUACUUCAUUGCUUAUGGCCUUAUCUUCCAAGUGUUUGCCAUUAAAAUUUGCCUUAAUUUAUCACCAUUCCAUCAGCUUCUUCAACUCCAUUAAUUUCACUUCCCCCCCAAAAAUAUCUUCUGUGUUGUCACUGAAUAUCCUGCCUUACUGUUGGCCAUCUUGCUAGAUAAAUCUGCCCAAGAAUAAAAUUGCCUCUAAGUGGGGGAUUAAGGUUAGAAAGAGUUAAUUAGUGUUGGGUCAUAGGUUAGAACUGACACAAAGGACUGAUCUGAACUGAGGGUUGGGUCUGGAUUGGGAGGUUAUGUAAAGUUUAGGGCCACUACAUUUAAUUCAGAGGUGUGUUUGUUUAUUUUUUUUUUUAAAAAGGAUGUUCCAGAUCAGUCACACUUUUUGCACUGGAUAAAAUAUAAACUCCCCCUGCCUCUCAAUCCAAUAAAUGUGUAAUACCAUCACAAGCUGCUCCCUCUGUGGAGAUGAAGCUGCCGUGAGGAUUCCUGGUUUCAGUUAGUAGUAAUAUGUUUAGUUUUAAUUUAGUUUAGUGUUUUAUUGUCACGUGAACUGAGGCACAGUGAAAAGCUUUUGUUUGUGUGAUAUCUGACCAAAGAAAAGACUAUAACCGAGUACAAUCAAGCCACGCACAGUAUACAGAUAAAAUAUAAAGCUGACAACAUUUAGUGCAAGAUAAAGUCCAAUAAGAUCCAAUUAAAGGUAGUUCAAAGGCAAUGUCCUACGAGAUCGAUGGGAGGUUAGGACCGCACUCUAGCUGAUGAGAGGGCUGCUCAGUUGUCGGAUAACAGCUGGAAAAUAACUGUUCCUGAAUCUGGAGGUAUGGAAAAUGGAGAGCCUUUCCAGCUCACUACAAUGGACUUGAGUUAUUACAUUUGUAUUCAAUUGAAUUACAUUUCAAGGAGGCCAAGGUGUGCAUGCUUGCAAGGACAGAAGGUACAAAAGUGGUUAGUGCAGGGAUAGCAAUAGUAUCUAACCAGGGCGGCACGGUGGCGCAGCGAUAGAGUUGCUGCCUUACAGCGCCGGAGACCCGUGUUCGAUCCUGACUGUGGGUGUUGUCUGUACAGAGUGUGUACAUUCUCCCCGUGACCGCGUUGGUUUUCUCCGAGAUCUUCGGUUUCCUCCCACACUCCAAAGACGUACAGGUAUGUAGGUAAAUUAGCUUGGUAAAUGGGAAAAAAAUAUCCCUAGUGUGUGUAGUAUAGUGGUAAUAUGCGGGAAUCGCUAGCUGGCGCGGACCCAGUGGGCCAAAGGGCCUGUUUCCGCGCUGUAUCUCUAAACUAAACGAUCAAUGGUGUUAAAGUACUCUUUAAUUUAUAAUAUCACAGUCUUUUCUCAAAUAACUUUGGAAAACAAAAUACAUUUUUAAAAACCAAUCCAGUUUUUGUUUAGGCAGCAAUGCAGUGUAAUAAUUAGUGCUGCCACCUCACAGUUCCAGAAAUCUAGAUUCAAUCCUCAAUUUAGGCAGUGUCCAUGUGAAGUUUACCGAUUCUCCCAUUGGUCUCCUCCUGAUGCUACAGUUUCCUUGAACUUCCCAAAAGUGUACUGAUAGGUGACUGUACCAAGUGUACUGGUAGGUAAAUUUCUCCUUUCCCCUGACUCUCAGUCUGAAGAAGGGUCUCGACCCAAAACGUCACCUACCUAUAUUCCUUUUCUCCAGAGAUGCUGCCUGACCCAUUGAGUUAGUCCAGCUUUUGUGCCUAUCUUCAGUUUAAACUAGCAUCUGCAGUUCCUUCCUACACUGGUCGGUUAAUUGGCUGCUGUACAGUCUUAGUAGAUAUAAACAUAGACAUAGAAAAUAGGUGCAGGAGGAGGCCUUUCUGCCCUUCGAGCCAGCACCGCCAUUCAUUGUGAUCAUGGCUGAACACGUAUCAUCAAAAGAGACAAAGGGAAGUUGAUUGUUAUGUGAGAGAGAAUAAGUUGCAGGGACACAGGGAAAAAAAUGAGAUGGGGAAAUGAAACUAAUGGGAGCCAGCAUGAACCUAAUGGGGUGAAGGCCUUUUUUGAGUUGUAAUGCAUAACUAAUAUUAAGUGCAUUUUCUAAAAUUCAUAAGCACUCAUAUGUUCGUAUUUGCUCAGAGGGAUAAACUAAUCUCACUUUUUUUGUGACCUUGUUUGGUAUUCUUUAGACUUCAUUAAAUUAAUUGGGAAAUAGAGUGUAACAUUGGGAAAUGUUAGAUGGGUUAGAAAGGUUACAAAGAAUAGAUGGGAAGAAUCCAAGUUCAAUUUUCAAGACAGGACCAUAGAAUUUCUAAGGCAAUUCAAGAUGCACCUGUAUUUAUUUUUCAGUUGGAUAGGGCAAGUAAUAAUUUGUCAGUCACGGAAAUAAGAGAUAGCGAUAUUUCUACUAUUAAAUAUUAGAAAUCAGAAUCAUCAGAUGAUAUCUCUAAUUGCUGUGAGUGAAAAAAUAUGACUUACAUUUUUAAAUCAGACAGAGACGGCAUGAAGCCAUUACUUUUCUUGAUACUAAUUCCAUUUCUUUAAAAAAGAGAGCAAUGGAUUGGGAGGACAGGAAGGUAAAAGAGAGGAGGGCAUGAAGUGAAAUUAAAAGGGAGGGUUGAAGUGGGUUGAAAGUAAAAUACAUUUGCCAGCAGUUCUGCUCCCUUGUGAGAAGCACAAAGACAAGAACAAAUUGAAUAUGAGGAAAAACUGCAAAAGGAAGACAGAAAUAAUGGGAAGAAGCACAACAUAGAGAUUUUCAGCAGUUCCAGUUUGAUUUUCCGAUCAAGUGUAUCAGGAUUCACAACCCAAAAUGACUUUAAGAAGAAUCAUAGAGCUGCACCUCAAGACCUUAAGAUGCCUGGAAGCCAGCUCGAUAGACCCUCAAGAUUGAUGUUAAAAGCAGGCCAGGCAGUGCAAGAAACAGUUAACAUUUCAAGUCAAUGAACUCUGUUGGAAUGUUAACUCUGUUUUGCUCUCCACAUAUGCUGCAUGUCAUGCUGAGCAUUUCCAGCAUCAGUUUAGGUUAGUUUAGAGAUACGGCGCAGAAACAGGCCCUUUCGGCCCAUCAGGUCCACGCCAACCAGCGACCCCCACACAUUAACACUAUCCUAUGGACAAUUUUUACAUUUACCAAUCCAAUUAACCUAUAAACCUGUACGUGUUUGGAGCAUGGGAGGAAACCGCUCGGAGAAAACCCACGCAGAUCAUGGGGAGAACGUACAAACUCCGUACAGACAGCACCCGUAGUAAUACUCCGACGUGUAUUUGCUGUAAGGCAGCAACUCUACCACUGCGCCAUUGUGCAGCGUUCUCUACUCUUAUUUCAGAUUUCCGACAGGUUUUUUAUUUCCCUCCAUAUCUGGACCAGUUAAGUUUAAGUAUGGGAUACCUCGGGAGGUAGGUCCAUGAUGAGAAAAUUCACACCCACUGAGCUCUGACGUUACAGUGAUAGACAUAUAUACUCUUUGUUCAAUUCUUUGGAAUAAUGAUCCUAAUUUAUCUUUUACUAACAUAUAUUUGAAGAAAUUAUUUAAUAAAGAACAACACAUCUUCUGUGAUAUAUGUCAGGAAGGAACAAAAUUCGACAAAGUGUAUUUGAAUUUUUUUGUUUAGGGUUUGUCAUUAAGAACUUGUGCAUUUUUACAAUUCUGAAGGACUUGUAGACCUAUUCCAGUGAUUAAGAGAUUUUCAACAUUGGAAUAAAUAAGAUUUCAUAAAUGUAAACCCUGAUAAUGGCAAAUUGUCUUCUUUUAAAAAUAAUCCAACUUAACAUUCCAAUUUAUGCUGUUUAGUGUUUAGUAAAAACAAAUGUAUUUGGUGAUUUAUGAAAUGUAAGUAAUAAUAUAAGAUGGCCUCCAGAAUCAAAUUGGUCUAAGAUCACCAUUUAUUUUAUUUUUGUACUCUCAUGUGUGUAGUGGCCAAGGUCUCUUCCCUGGGAAUGACCAAGGGAUGUGGCAUUUGUUUUGGUGACCACUGGCAAGUACAAUUAUAAAUCAACUUGUAUCAAUGCUCUCCUUCUCUCGACUGUGGCUGAAAAUGCAUGCAUAAGCACUUUAGAUAAGGAUGGCAUCUGCUUGGUAUGAUGCCUCCUAUAUUAAUAUCACUGCCCAUGCUCACUAAACGUUCACCUAUGAAGUAAUGCAAGGUUGCCAGAGCAACUAUAAUCGUGCCACAGGAUGAGUUACUGCCGUCAGAACAAAAUGGGAAGACAAUU